AAAUGUGAAAUAAAUAUACCACUUACUUCGUUUACUCUAACGUUAAAUUAAGUGAUACUUAUACUUUCGUAAUGGAGAUGAGUUUUAAAAGAGCUAUUCAUUUAAAACAUUUUCGCUCCAAUGCUGCGGUCGACAUAUUACAAAGAUGGGCUUACAAUAUUACUUAUGCUUCUUUAGAAAAGCCUCUCCUAACUACGUUAAUAACAAUGACUGCUAGUGUAAUCUUCCUAACAGCAAUGUUAAUACUGGCAGUCAUUUUUGCUGGUGUAAUAUGUCUUACAAGCAUUAUUUUGUUAAUAGAAGGGUUUUUAUUGGUGGUGCUAAUAAUUGCAGUUAGUUUACUUACAAUUAUUGGUUUAUACAUUUAUGUCGUUGGCAUUACCUUUUAUUUUAAAGCUGAAAGCAAAGAAGGCGUAAACACGGCAGAA